rnacentral:snRNA from 1 species
AUCUUUGCGCUUGAGGCAAUGACGCAGUUAGUGAGGUGAAACCGAGACGCGUCAAUUGCUGGUUGAAAACUAUUUCCAUUUCCAUUACCAAACUAUGAAAAAUGACAUUGUAGUAUUGUUUUGUUCAAAUGAAGUUUCCAAAUUUUUCACAACCAAACUUUGG